rnacentral:rRNA from 1 species
UGGGAGGUAAAUUUCUCCUAAGGCUAAAUAACGGCGAGAGACCGAUAGCGAACAAGUACCGUGAGGGAAAGAUGAAAAGAACUUUGAAAAGGGAGUUAAACAGUACGUGAAAUUGUUGAAAGGGAAACGAUUGAAGCCAGUCGUACCUUCGGGUAAUCAGCCUUUCGGGUGUGAUUCUGUGGAGUUUGAGGAGCUUAACACCUUCAUGCUUUGCAUAUUCGUGCUCUUGGGUGUACUUGCCCGUGUGGUUGGUUAACAUCAAUUUCGGGCACCAUAAAAUGGCUGGAGGAAUGUAGCUUCGAUCUUGUAUUGAAGUGUUAUAGCCUUCGGUAGAUGUGGUGAUCGAGAUUGAGGAUUGCAACGGAUACCUUUCGGGGCUACCUGUCUGAUCUCUGAUCGUUGUUUUGGUGCUGAAAGCGUGCUUAUAGUUAUCAAAGUCGAUGGUCAAUAGGUUAGAAUGGGUUAAAUUCGUUAAGGAUGUUGACGUAAUGGCUUUAAACGACCCGUCUUGAAACACGGACCAAGGAGUCUAACAUAUAUGCGAGUGUUAGGGUAAUUAAACCCUUACGCGUAAUGAAAGUAAUUUUGGUGGGAGCAUUUUUGUGCACCAUCGACC